rnacentral:lncRNA from 1 species
GUAAAUGCAUGAGUUGGUGGAUGACCACCAUACCUCUUAAUAUUCCACCGUUGGAUUUUAUGUAACCUAUGCACUAAGUAUUUGUAAUUAGUACUUGUAACUUAUAGGUAUAUUGUAAAUGAUGGUAUUCAAUCUUCUAUCUUGUAAGCCUAUAAAUAGGUGGUUCUACCAAAGAUUAAGGAAGGAAAAAACAUGGUGAAGCUUUAUCUUUAGCAUAUCACUUCUCUCUACAUUUUC